rnacentral:tRNA from 1 species
GGUGGGUUGGCUCAGUGGUUAGAGCGUAGGUCUUGUAACCGAAAGGUUGCGGAAUCGACUCCCGCUACAGGCUG